GACGCGUGGGGACGCGGCGGCGCGCAGAGAGGAGCGUCGGGCGGCCGCGCGCGCAGUGGCGGCAUCUGAGGUGACCGCCUCGUCCCCCGGAUUCUCUGAGAGGUGUGCGGUGUGGACCCGCCCCUGGCACCUGGGCGUGAGUCCCGGGUUGUGACGGCGUGUGUGUACAAUCCUGACUGCAGUCGCAGUGUGGACUCUCCCCGCCGUCGAACAAUGACCCCACUGGCGUGUGCUACGAUCCACCCUAAUUCUGACCCUAUCUCGCUGGCGACGGCUCAGCCCCCAGGACGGCGCUCGCCCCCCUCCCCCACCGGACCCCAGUUCCAGAGAGAGAGAAUAUCUCAAGCAGUCUCUGUACUGGGAGUCUGAUGAGGGUCUCAACCCCAUGACCCUGACAUCAUGACCUGAGCGGAAAUCAAGAAUCGGAUCCUCAACUGAUUAAGCCACCCAGGUGCCCCUAUAAUUUUGAUGUUCAUUUUUAACUUUGUUUUGAAAUUGUACAAAUUUCAUAAUUUUCAUUCAUGUUUUCCUUUUUACCCUAGAGUUGUUUAAUGGAAAUGUUUUAUAAUUUCUUGUUGUAAGCAUCCUUUAUUUAGGUUUUCAUGUUCUCCUUUAAAUCUCUUCAUUUCCUGCAUUGUGAGCAUAAAUGACACUUGUAAUUUCAA